UGAUAACAUGUAUUGCCUCUGUGA
rnacentral:siRNA from 1 species